GUGCGCGUGUCAGGGAAGGGGGGAAAAGCAAUUUACAUCUUCAUUAUGGCUCUGACACUGUUCAGAAAGCAACGGGUAGAAGUAAAUUGACAGAGAGCUUCCUCACCAAGACGGUACAUGGCAUCACGACGAUCGGAGGGGGAGGGCAACAGAGAAUGCAGUGAUAUGGCGAAGAAGGGUUGCAAGUGAGAAAAGGAUCGGUGAGGAUCGAGAGCUCAGGAGGCAGUGAGAGUUGCAGAUCUCAUGUGCCUUUUACUCUUUUUCUACAUCUCCAAGGAUAUCAAGUGAGGAGGCGGUAUCAACUUUUCUUGUGGAGUGAGAUUGUGAGAUGUUCCAGAUUGGCCGAAGAAAUGAGGAUAAGUCGAGUAUGAUUUGGCUUACCCAUGGAACUUCAAGAAGAAGGGAAAAAAAGCAUUUUGGGCCUUUCACAUUUGGCAUGGGAGGUAUUGGAAAGAUUUUGUGAAUUAAAUUGCAAAGGAUGAUGGAGAGUGAAAGAUUGUGGAUUGAUUUCAAAUCAUAUAUGUGUGAGACUGUUAGAAGCUGGGUAGAUAGAGAAGAUGCUAGAUAUAUGUGAUAUAUUGAUCAGAAAAAAGAGUAUUUGCACUGCAUUUCUGAAAUAGAAGAAAAACUACAGAAAUAUGAAAGUUUAAAAUAAAAUUGGAGGAGCUUGAGAAAAAUCAGAUGUUGUUCUGGUUGGAAAUGAAUGAGAUGGAGCACUUUAUGUCGAAGACAAUGGCACUAUUGAAGAACAAGUAUAAAGAUAUUCCACAAAGUAAUUUUUAUAAUGAUGAGCAACUUGAAACUAUAGUUAAGGAAGAGCAACCUAAAGCAGCUAAUAAAGUGCAACCUGAAGCUAUUGUAGGGCAAACUGAAGUAGCAAAUGUAGUGCAACUUGAAGCUAAUGAAGAGCAACCUGAAUUAGCUAAUGAAGUGUAGCCUGAAGCUAAUGAAGAGCAAUCUGAUGAAGA